UACGAAGGGGGCUAGCGUUGCUCGGAAUUACUGGGCGUAAAGCGCACGUAGGCGGCUUUCUAAGUCGGGGGGUGAAAUCCUGGAGCUCAACUCCAGAACUGCCUUCGAUACUGGAGAGCUUGAGUCCGGGAGAGGUGAGUGGAACUGCGAGUGUAGAGGUGAAAUUCGUAGAUAUUCGCAAGAACACCAGUGGCGAAGGCGGCUCACUGGCCCAUUACUGACGCUGGAGGCACGAAAGCGUGGGGAGCAAACAGG
rnacentral:rRNA from 1 species